GCAAAGCACAUCUGCUUCACUGCUUCCCUGAAGAGGGACUGAGGGGUCCCAACCAGGACCCCUCAAACCCUGCCUCAUCCUAGACGCAUUUGCACUCGGCUGGUCAGUCUCCCCGCAGGACCCCAGCAGCCUCUCUGGAUGGAAGGAAGCCCGAGAAGGAGGGAAUUGCUGGGCUGUCCCAAAGGCUUUCCUCCAACCCCAGUGACUCCACUUCCUUCUCUGCCAAGUUGUACUGGGAUACAUGCCCUAAUACAAGCAAAGGUAUCUCCCCAGUCAACAGUCACAGGCUGCCCUGCCCGCUUAAACCCUUCUGCUCAAGACUUCCUUGAAUGUCACCUGGGGGUGCAGAAGAUGAGUUCUGAGAAUAACAGAGCAACUUUGAGGAAACCGUCACCCAACAAAACGUCAGCUUCAACUGGCAGACUUUCAUCUUGCUUCGAUCUUCAGGCCAGGUUGUGUCCGCCUUGGAUAGCGUGGCCUCAGAGGGAGUGAACCUUGCUGAGUGGUGUUCUUUGCACAUUUUGCAGUGGAGGCUGUGGCUGCCAGUUCCCGUCCUUCAGGACUGAAGCACACUUCCCUCCCCACCUCGGGUGCUGGGAGUGUUGAUGGCUGACAGCUCUCAGCUCCCGUGAUGGGUUCAAAUUGUGAUGUUUGAGUUAGCUGGAACUACUGGUCCCCAAAUUCCCUUCCCUGCAUAGUUAUGGUUAACACAGACCACAGGGAUAUUUUGCAUGAGGUUUAGAAGGCAGAAGCAAAACAACAACCAUCUUCUUUUGUUUUGCUCUCAAAAGGCUGA